GCCUUCGUGGUGUAGUGGUCAGCAGGCUCGGCGCGUAAUCGAGAGGUCCGUGGUUCGAGUCUCGGCGAAGGCA
rnacentral:tRNA from 1 species